UUUCUUAUAUUAUACUCACUAAGUUCUUAUUACAUAUUAAAUUUUAUCUCAAAACUUAGCUCCUCUUGGAAGAACAUUAUCAAUAGGGUCUCUUCAUACAUCAAACCAAACUGGCUAGACCUCAAGGUCAUGGUUCAACUCCUUUAAACAGCUUGAAUUAGGACAAAAAUGCAAUGUAAGUGUAUUGCCUUACAUUAUUUAUGAUAAUAAUUUAAGUAAUUAUCAUUUAUAAAUUUAAUUUAUAUACAUAUAAGUGUAAAGAUCUUUCAUAUUGAUCAUCAAAUGUUAGCUCAACUGACAAUUACUGAUAUUGUUAGAUUAAAUAUCUUGUCUCGGAUUUGAAUCUAAGACCUCUCAGUUGUGUGAGUUAAUUAUGAUUGAAUUUACCAUCUCUUUUAAAACAAAACAAAACAAAAAAAGAUAUUUUAUAUUGUCAAUUAAUUAUAAUCAUAUUAAUAAAAAUUAUUGUUUUUAAUCAUAACUAUUUUUCAAAAAUUGCGUAGCCACGCAACUAUUCCAACUCUCUUUCUAUAUUAAUUAAGCAUAUACCAAGUCUUAUUUUCAUGAAAAUCAGGUGGCCUUAUCCAUUUCUUGAUUUGUCAUCUUCAUAUGCUCUACUAUGGUAUGGAUUUGAUUCCUUCCACAUUAAUAUCUUCUGCAUAAUUCAUUCCUAUGCUGACUAAAAAAAUGUUGCAUCAUUUCGAUUCUAGUUUUAAAGCUUUUAAGAGGCUUGUGAUGAAUUUUGUAGGUACCUUGCUGUGGCAUUAUUUCAAAUUCCAUGCUAUGGUAUUUUCAGUUUGGGAAUGAAGCUGAAACAUUAUGUGUUGUCAAGGCGCUACCAGUAUUGGUAUCAACGUGUUAAAAAUCGAUCUUUUUGAUUUUUCUCUCAGAUUUUUGAACUAAAAAAAGAAAAAUCGACGUAUUUUAAAUAAUGUGAGAUACAAUUUUGUGAUAUAAAAUUAUUU
rnacentral:lncRNA from 1 species